CCAGGGGAGCCUGCCGGGGGGCGGCGGGCCGGGAGAACGGCUGCCCCCGCGUCCGGGGGCCUGCAGCUGCGGGCUCUAGUAAGCGCUCGGUGGAUGCUCGGGCGCGGGGAGCAGACGUUAACCCGGCAGGCCCUCGCGCACGUACCCCACGCCAACCCGGCCUUGCAGAGGGUCGAAAGUGGGGGUGGGGUCCGGGUCCAGCCGGGGCAGCUCGGGACGCCGAGCCCGGUCCUCCUUGCAGCCCCACCCGCCUGGCGGUGCCACAGGAAAUCUGGCCUGCCGGCGGUGCUCCCAGACAAAAUGAUUGCUGAGGGUGGGAGGAGGCCCGGACGACUCGACCUUUACGUCUUUAAAUGCUUAUCACUACGGGACACUGGGAUCCGGAUAGAAGAGGGAACCAAAUUUACAUCAGACGCUCCCACACUAAGAGCCUAACCAGAUCCGACCAGCGGGCCUCGCCUCGGGGGGGCGGGCUUGCACGUGACAGAUGACACUUGCUGGAGGUCGGGCCCCUGCCAUCCCCACCCCCUCUUAAUUAAAAAAAAAAAAAAAAAAGCUGACCCUUGGGCCUUUCGAACAAACCACGACCUGAGCUAGAAAGGACGAGAAUUCAAGCCCAGCACCCCAUCCCCAUUUUCCAGAUGGGAGAACCGCCUCUGGAGACACAUUUAUGGAUAAAAAAAUGAGGGGAAUCAGAUUAGAAGAUAGCGUUAAGACUGCUGCCCAGU